AGAAAAAACUCGAUCUUUUCAUUUUCUGUGAAAGAGAUAGUUUCUUGAUUUGUUUUUUUUUUUUGAAUCAUCUUGAUUUGGUUUCUUUGUUAUCACUAUUGCUAUCAAUCUUUCUAACCCUAAAUUCAAUUUCAUUCUAAUCAGCAAACCAUUCAUAAUUACCCAAUUUGUUUUCUGUUUGCGACACUCUUUCGUUCUCCGUCAAUCUUGAUUACCCUCUCUCAUGCGCGCUCAAAAACCUCACAACACUUUCGUGUAACUCGCUCUGAUUCUGUAACUCGUUCUAUUUGUUUUCGAUUUUUUUAUCAUGCCGAUGGCUAAAGCUGAUUCCAAAGCCGCUGAUAACCGGGUGCAGGAACAGGAUGAAAAAAGACGAACAAAGACGCUAAGGACCCUAACAACCUGAAGAGGCUAAGUUGAAGCGUAAGAGAUUGUGUUCUAUUUCAGGUCUGAUGUAGGCAGAACCAGCGACUGCUUUGGGUCUGAUAAAGGCUGGUCCUUUGCCAAAUGCUACAACGGCUGAGCCUGGUUCGUCGCGUACAUAUUCAGAUACUGUUAAUUGGAAAAGCCCGACCCCAUGGUGAUUCAAAAUGUAAUAUUGAUGCAUCAUUUGCGUCACAUUUAAACGGAGUUGGGAUUGGAAUAUGCAUCCGCGACGAACUUGGUCAAUUUGUGUUUUCAAAGACAAAAUAGAUUGCCCUUCUUUGUGGAGUGGAUGUUGGUGGACCUCUUGGUUAGUAUAUGUCCCUAAAAUGAUGGUAAUACUACACUUUGGAAUAUUUCUUUUGUUGUGCAGGUAGUGCUACACUUUGGAAUAGACAGAGCUUUAGUUCUGAUGUACUUACAGCAGCUGCAUGCACUGCUGCCAAUGCAAAGGGAUUGCAUUCUGCUCAAGUUCUGAUGCGAGAAGAACCUACGACAGCUUUGGGUCUGAUACGGGCUGGUGCGUUGCAGAAUGCUAAAUUGGAUGUUGGUAGUAUGCCCUUGAUUUAGUCUUGUCUGAAGGACCUAUGAUUGAAGCCAGACCUUUGAUUGUGAUCUAGUUUUCAAAUAAGUAGCGUGUGUUGCAGAAUCUUCUUCUUGAUAUUUGGAGUAUAUGUGGACUUAGUUUUGAAAAAAAUUAAUGAAAUAUCCAUUGUACUACUUGUAUCAUGUGUCUGUACCAUAUUGAUGAUUUUUGCCAACUGGUAUAGCUAUUACUAGUAUACAUAGUUUUAGUUCUUGUAACUAUGUCACAGUUAUGAUUUGUCAGGACGAACUUGAUUGGAAUGAAACAUUGAUAAAGAGUUUCGUCGGAAGAGAGGUAGGUAACGUUGUAUGUUUAUUAUUAAUUAUAAUUAUUAAUCACUAAUUUAUCAUUUAUCACUAUCAUUAGCAGGCUGCAAAAAGUGAUACAUGGAUCGGCCGGAGAAAUUAUAAAUAAUAUGUUCAUUAUGUAUGGCCUUUUGAAUUCAUAAAAUUCAUUAUCUAUGAGACUGUUCAUGAAAUUGUUGUCUGUGACCUAUGUGUCAAUAAAAUAUUUGAAAUUCGAAUACUAGUGGUAUAAAUACAAAAAACUUCUCAUUUUAUGGACAUGCUUACUGAUGAAAGUUCAAACGUGGGGAUUUUUUACCUUUUCAUUUUAUGGUUAUGAAAAUAGAGGGACCAAAAACUUAGAUUAAAGUUUCAAGAGGUGAUAACUUAUUGAACUGUUUUUAACUUUUAUCAGAGAUUGCUUUGUACUGCUGUUUGGAGUUGGGACUCUUUGGUAUUUUGUACUAUUAUCAUGAUUAUAAAUUUACCCUAUUUCCCAGAAAAUCGUUCAACUCAUACAACUAUACAAGAGCAAGUGCUUCAUCUUCAUUUUAGCUAUAACUGUCUCACCCCAAGUCUAUAUGCAAGCCACAAUGGCAUUUAUGGUUACCCGAAUACAAUAUGUUUUUCUACUAUAGUAAAUUGUUUUAGAUGGUUAAGGUUUGUCGUUUUACAUAGGCUCUAUGGCUUCAUCGUCGCUUUCUUUCUAUGUGCUGGAUAAAUAGUUUUCCAACUGUUUCUGGUGACGAAUCCUACCAUUCCAAGGAGGCAACUAGCAUGCAUCAUGACUUUGGCACCUUUCUGAAUAAUGAAUUAUGUCUCCAUCAAGCCUCAACUUUUGCCGAUGAGGAUUAUGGGGAUUUCCAAGCACAAGCCAUGUAUUCUGUGAGUUACAUACUGUGGUUGAAAGUGGUAAUGUGAUUUUAUUUUUUUGAUUUUAUUUUUGCCUUAGACUUUUCAUUUUAAGACUGCUUAUCUAUCUUAAUAGCUCAGGCUGUCUUAAAUAUGUUAUGUGCAUCAGCAAGUGCCGAAGCCUCUUGAAAAUGAUCUCCCUGAGAAGAUAAGAGAGGUAGAUUUGAAAACCUUAUUGGAUAAGUCAUGCCCAGAGAGAUCCUCUUUAUUCAGUUACUUUAUGAGCUAUAGAGCUAUGUGAGAGAGUUGUUCUAUCUCUUCCUAUUACACAAAAUUGAAAAAGCUUUGGGAAGAAUUAGAUAACUUUCGUCCUAUUUCAGAAUGUAAUUGUGAAUUAGUAGACAGAAACUAUUAGACGACUCUUUCACUUUAAUAGUUAUCGACUGUUUUCGGAAUGUGCAUAACAUCUUUCUAUUCAUAAUUGUUUGAUUAAGACAUGGCUUAAUGGCUUAACUAUACCAUAUUUAGACUGGUUUGCCUAGGGUAAAUUGACCUAAAGUGUGAAGCUAUAAAGGAGAAAAUGACUUGAGAAGAAUGGGAAGUUCUAGUGGGUAAUAUGAUAUCUGACUAAACAAGAUAAGACUCUUAUUAGCUUGAGGGUGAAGAAUCAACUAGUAUAGGAUGAGGAUGCUUUGGGAAACCAGGUGUGUAGGUAGGCAAGCUGUGUUACAAAUUGAGUGCUUGCAGAAGGAGAGCAAAUACAAAGAGCAAUACAAAAAGGUGCAUUCUUCUAAUAUGAAUUCUAGUUUGUUUUUGUUCUGUCCUAAAAAGGGCAACAAGCUAAACAAGAAACUCUUAAUGAAGAAUAAUUUGGUGUAUGAUUAAACAACAUAGUAAGCGGAACAAAAUUCUUAUUUAAUUGAGGUAAGUGCUUGUUUGGAAGACAUUGAGUCAAAAUUGACGUGGGAUAGAGGCUUGAGAUAGUAAAUAGAGGUUAAACAUCAACAAUAUGUAUAUUUUCAUGCUUAACACCAAGUAUUUUAAGAAAAUGCCUAAAUUCACCCCUAAUCUGUUUGAAUACUUUUGCUUUUGGUUUAAUUGCAGGUCAUCAAAUGACUACAAUAAUGUAAAAGGUUCAAUGGGAUGUAUAGGUUUGCUGCUGAUCCAAAUGCAAUGGUGGCAGAUUUGGGUGAAUGGAAGGAAGGCAAAUGGCUUUGGGUGUAGAAGUAGCCGCGGGAAUUAAUUCAGUGGGCAUAUGAUUUACUUAAUGAUGUGUUGCUGGAUAGUGUAGUUUUAGAGGUUGGGACCGGUGGAAAUGGUUAGGCAAUCCGAGAGGCACUUUCUUUAGUUUCACUGGUAGUUUCACUUUAAGGAUGAGUAUCGGGAUGCUUGGCGAUCUAAUAUGGUUUGUUGUUACCUUUACUAGUUCUGAUUAUUAUUUUUGAGGUAGUUAAAUUGAAAUGCUGGAGUUGGUUAAGUGCAAGGAAUGUCUGGUUCAGAUAUCAUGUUUCAGCAUGGUUUAUUAAACAGACAGGUUACUCAGGUAUUUACUAAGGCAUGUGUGAGAUGAAAUUAUUGUUUGAAAGCUCCUAUUAUGCAAAUUUUGUUUGGUUGCUGUUUGUGUUGUUGGAGACGGGUGCUGCUAGAGAUUGUUAUCAUGGCAUGUUGUUCAGUUCAGCUUAGAAUUGAAAAAUUGGUUACCUUUGAAAGGGAACAACACAAGUUAACAACCAUUGUGACUAUAGUUAACUUUAUUUGAUCACUUAAUCAAUUAAGGCUCAUAAUUGAUAAAUAGCUAAUAUAAUUAUAUAAAGAUAUUUGCCCACAUAAUAUUAUUGGAAUGUCAUAAAAUAUUCCAACACUCUUAUGUUAUUAUGCUCUGUUAAUACAACCUUGCUAACUAGAACCAGAAGUAAUAAAAAUCAUAGAGACAAACAAGGAAUAAGACUAAAAGAGAAUGGAAGAUAAUAAAGAGAGAAAGGGUUGUUGAACAUAGGUAGAUAAUUAUAGCCAUAAUAACUCAAUGGAAAGUCCCCAGGCUUUUGCUUUGUGCUGGGCUCAGGAAAGUCCCCGGGCUCAAUCUGCAGAAAUGCAGGCCUGGAAACGGGCUUAUCUUUGAGUUGGGAAUUGGCUGAGACACGUGUGUGGAGCCUUUAAAUUCCUGGCCAAUGAAACUUGGCCUAAUUUUUACAGUCAUUCACACGAUCUUUAUGAGACUAACAGAACAGGGCUUGUGCUUCAAGGUCCAUAUUUUUUAAAACAAAUUGAAAUUUUUUGUUAUUAUUCCAUUCCAUGCUUUGUAAACAAGUUACCAAUUUUUUCUUAUUAUUCCACUCCAUUCUAUACUUUCCGUUUGUUUUUUUUUACUCACUGGUUUGUUGACCGUUGGAGUAUUAAUUUCCUAAUUACUAUAAAUCCAACACAACUAUCUGGGAGGGAGAUAUUACUCCAAAAAUAUCAUUAUUCAAUCAUUUAUAUAACAAUAUAUACUUUGCUAGAAUGGAUACAAUAUAUACUUUGACCUAAAAGAAUUGUGGUAAAAACAAAGGAGAAUUGUGAUAAACUUUUUUUUGUUGCCAAAGAUAUUCUCGGAUCGAAAGUGAGAGAUGAAUCCUUUGAAAUAUGGUGAAUUGUGGUAUACUUUCACACGAUGAUGCUUCAUACUCAUGAAGGCUUUGAAGAAAGUGAUAGGAUUGAGAUCCAGGAUGGAGUUGAGCACUUGGUGGAAUUAAUGUCCAUGUCCAAUGAAUGAACAAAGGAAUGUAAAUUUGUUGCCUGUUCAACUUCUUUAUUUUUAGGACGACAUUGUGUUGCCUAAUGAAGAGAACAGUGAGAUUGUAUAUUCAAGAGGAAUUUGUUUCAAGUCAAUGAAGAUCGAUGUUAAUAAGGAGUUUCCUAAUAUGGUUUCAAUCAAGAAUACUAAUAUAUGAAUAUUAUGAUAAGGAGUUUCUUUUGACUUAAUGGUUCUGUGUAACUAUGUUUUGGAUGGUUGGACAGACUCACCGGCAUCAUGACAUUAUUGUUUCACAUUGAAGAGAGUAACCAAAUCAACUGUAUCACCAUAUGUUCUAAUUAGUAACUCAUCAUCACGCCAACUGUUCUGUCCAUCAUCAAACUUUGUCAUUCUUUUUUCAAUAAUAGGAAUUGCAGAUUGUUGGUCAGAUCUUACCAUCCCAGUAGAAGCAGUAACUGUCAACCUGUGUUUAUGGUCUAUGGUCAUGGAAACAGUGAUUUCAGGAACUCCUUUUGGUGCUUCAGGUAUUUCAGUUAUUUUGAAAUUUCCCAAAACAUUGUUUUCUUUGGCAUUAUGUCCCUCCUCAUCGCCUUCCUAGACAACAAUCGAUGCCGUAGUUUGAUUAUCAUUAAUAGUUGAGAAAACUAUAUCCCAUGUCAUUGGCACCGGUGUGUUCCUCGGAAUAACAGGUACGAAUUUUUGUCCAUCAGCACAAGUUCCGAUGGCAUGAAGUGUUACUUGAGAAGUAAACAAGUCCAUGUUACCAAUCAAAGGAUUCAUACCUUUAUAAAUUUCCUUUCCUUUGCACAUUCUAGUAACAAGAUUCUUCACCAUUGGUAUAUUACACAAUAUCCACCUACAAUUAUCACGUCACUUAUAUUCUCAACUUUUAUCUUUGCAUCUUCCAAGCAUUGGUUGAUUAGGAUUUCACACUUCUUAAACACCUCUUUGUUUAUGUCCUCAAACUCUUGCCGUGUCACAACCUUGCAUAUCUUCGAACCAUAUCCCAAAUCUAAAUCAACCUCGACACUUUGUCUUAGACGAAAGCUCAGUAAUCACAUCGUGGAUUCUACUUCGAAGAAAAGCCAUCAAUAAUAAUAUCUGAGUUCCAAUGAACAUGUCUCUUGAAUGUAUUUUCAGAAUCAGGUAAGAGAUGACACAUCAUAUUUACAAGCAAAUCUUCUCCACCAAUAGUACUUCCGGUCAAGGCUUUUAUUCGGAACUUUCCUUUUUCUGCUGCAAUAACAGAAACAUCACAAUAACCCACAUCCAUUUUGAAAAUGAGAGAAAUUUUCAUGCUCUUCAUUGUCCAUAUCCUCAUGAUGAGCCACAUACCACAAAACUGUAACGACCCAAAUUUAAUUAUUAAUAAUUAAUUGAUUAUUUGCAUUUAUUUUAUUUGUGGUUUUUAAUGUAAUUAAUUAAUUAUGUGUUAAUUGUUGGUUUACGUGUUUUUAAUAGAAAUAACUCGUUAAGAAUAGAAUGAGGGAAGUGAUGUGUUAGAAUAUGUUUUAGGCCCAUUUAGUAGCGGGGUAUUUUGGUAAAAGAAGAAGGUGGUAAACCUAACUAUAUAAGGACCAAGUUAGAGAGAGGUUGUCAUAAAUUAUGAUUUUGAUGGAGGUAGAGAGAGAAGCUCUCAAGAAAGAAAGAUAAAGAGAAAGUUAGAGAAAAGAAGAGAAAGAAUGAAGAGGAAAGCUAAGUAGAGGGGAAGAUUGAAGAAGAGCUAGGAGAUGAAGGACUAGAGAAUCCAACAUCAAUAAGGUUCUCAGGUCGUGUGUUCGAGUAUUGAUGAAGCUCCGCUCUGAUUAUGACACGGGAAAAUGGGGUUUUAUAUAUGUAGAGUCCUCUAAUCUUAAUUAUUUUGUAUAAUUAAUAAUACUUUAUUUAAUUCAAAGAUUUGUUUAAACUCGUAUUCUACCAAUUAAUGUUAUUAGUAAGGUUUUGAAGUAA